rnacentral:rRNA from 1 species
GACGAACGCUGGCGGCGUGCCUAAUACAUGCAAGUCGAACGCUUCUUUCCUCCCGAGUGCUUGCACUCAAUUGGAAAGAGGAGUGGCGGACGGGUGAGUAACACGUGGGUAACCCACCCAUCAGAGGGGGAUAACACUUGGAAACAGGUGCUAAUACCGCAUAACAGUUUAUGCCGCAUGGCAUAAGAGUGAAAGGUGCCUUCGGGUGUCGCUGACGGAUGGUCCCGCGGUGCAUUAGCUAGUUGGUGAGGUAACGGCUCACCAAGGCCACGAUGCAUAGCCGACCUGGAAGGGUGAUCGGCCACACUGGAACUGAGACACGGCCCAAACUCCUACGGAGGGCGCCGUUAGGAAAUCUUCGGCAAUGGACGAAAGUCUGACCGAGCAACGCCGCGUGAGUGAGGAAGGUUUUCGGAUCGUAAAACUCUGUUGUUAGAGAAGAACUAGGGCGUUAGGAACUGAACGUCCCCUGACGGUAUCUAACCAGAAAGCCACGGCUAACUACGUG